UGGGGGAUAUUGCACAAUGGGGGGAAACCCUGAUGCAGCGACGCCGCGUGAGGGAAGACGGUCCUCUGGAUUGUAAACCUCUGUCUUCGGGGACGAAACGAGACGGUACCCGAGGAGGAAGCCACGGCUAACUACGUGCCAGCAGCCGCGGUAAUACGUAGGGGGCAAGCGUUAUCCGGAUUUACUGGGUGUAAAGGGAGCGUAGACGGCAUGGCAAGUCUGAAGUGAAAUGCGGGGGCUCAAACCCCUGAACUGCUUUGGAAACUGUCAGGCUGGAGUGCAGGAGAGGUAAGUGGAAUUCCUAGUGUAGCGGUGAAAUGCGUAGAUAUUAGGAGGAACACCAGUGGCGAAGGCGGCUUACUGGACUGUAACUGACGUUGAGGCUCGAAAGCGUGGGGAGCAAACAGGAUUAGAUACCCUGGUAGU
rnacentral:rRNA from 1 species